ACUGGUUCAGUUGGUAGAGCUUGAAACUCUUGAUUUCAAGGUCAUGAGUUCAAGCCUCAUGU
rnacentral:tRNA from 1 species